rnacentral:lncRNA from 1 species
GCGGUCCCACCGAUUUACAUGCCACCUCACCUAACAGUUAUUGAUGACACAUAAAUGGAUGAGUGUACAACUCUUGUACAAUGUUUCUCAAGCAUGUUGCAGUGCUUCUUGGUCUCUAAGUCAUGUAGACCUCACCUAAUAGUUAUUGGUCCCAUUUCUUAGUUAAGUCAGACCCACCGUAUAACCGUAGAAAUAAAGUCAUCAUUGGGUCCUCACCUAACAGUUAUU